rnacentral:rRNA from 1 species
GUUUGAUCAUGGCUCAGAAUCAACGCUGGCGGCGUGCCUCAGACAUGCAAGUCGGACGAUUAAAGCUCCCUUCGGGGAGUGCAUAAAGUGGCGCACGGGUGAGUAACACGUAAGUAAUCUACCCUCGGGUGGGGAAUAACGUUCGGAAACGGACGCUAAUACCGCAUAAUGCAGCGGCACCGCAAGGUGACAGUUGUUAAAGAUUUAUUGCCUGGGGAGGAGCUUGCGGCAGAUUAGCUUGUUGGUAAGGUAACGGCUUACCAAGGCUACGAUCUGUAUCCGGUCUAAGAGGACGGUCGGACACACUGACACUGAAUAACGGGUCAGACUCCUACGGGAGGCAGCAGUCGGGAAUUUUGGGCAAUGGGGGAAACCCUGACCCAGCAACGCCGCGUGAAGGAUGAAGUAUUUCGGUAUGUAAACUUCGAAAGAAUAGGAAGAAUUAAUGACGGUACUAUUUAUAAGGUCCGGCUAACUACGUGCCAGCAGCCGCGGUAAUACGUUGGGACCAAGCGUUGUUCGGAUUUACUGGGCGUAAAGGGCGCGUAGGCGGCGCGGUAAGUCACUUGUGAAAUCUCUGAGCUUAACUCAGAACGGCCAAGUGAUACUGCAGUGCUAGAGUGUGGAAGGGGCAAUCGGAAUUCUUGGUGUAGCGGUGAAAUGCGUAGAUAUCAAGAGGAACACCUGAGGUGAAGACGGGUUGCUGGGCCAACACUGACGCUGAGGCGCGAAAGCCAGGGGAGCAAACGGGAUUAGAUACCCCGGUAGUCCUGGCCCUAAACGAUGAAUACUUGGUGUCUGGAGUUUUAAUACUCCGGGUGCCGUCGCUAACGUUUUUAGUAUUCCGCCUGGGGAGUACGCUCGCAAGAGUGAAACUCAAAGGAAUUGACGGGGACCCGCACAAGCGG